AAUGUUGUACUAUGGGGGAAACCCUGAUCCAGCCCUCCCGCGUGGAGGAUGAAGACCCUCGCGUCGUACUGUACAUUUGGCAGAGAAGAAAAGGUACCUCCUAAUACGAGGUACUGCUGACGGUAUCUGCAGAAUAAGCACCGGCUAACUACGUGCCAGCAGCCGCGGUAAUACGUAGGGUGUAAGCGUUAAUCGGAAUUACUGGGCGUAAAGCGUGUGUAGGCGGUUCGGAAAGAAAGAUGUGAAAUCCCAGGGCUCAACCUUGGAACUGCAUUUUUAACUGCCGAGCUAGAGUAUGUCAGAGGGGGGUAGAAUUCCACGUGUAGCAGUGAAAUGCGUAGAUAUGUGGAGGAAUACCGAUGGCGAAGGCAGCCCCCUGGGAUAAUACUGACGCUCAGACACGAAAGCGUGGGGAGCAAACA
rnacentral:rRNA from 1 species